rnacentral:rRNA from 1 species
GGAACAAAAACUAAAUGGGAUUCCUUAUGUAAUGGCGAAUGACCAAGGAUGUGAUUAUGUUGUCAAGCAGGCCUUGGUCCUGCAUUGCACAGUGAUGGUGAAAUGCCAGCAGAAAGGUGUAUGUGAUUUUCUGGGUGGUCCAGCAUAGUAGGUGAAACUCCUUCUGUGGAUGCAUCGAUUUCUGCAUAGAGCAUGCACCCCUGAGUCGUGCUUCUUGGGACUGAAGUGCAAAUGUGAUGGUAAGGCUCAUCUAAAUCUCAAUAUUGACUUGAGGCCAAUAGUAAAUAAGUACCAUGAGGGAACUGUGAAAAGAACUUUGAGAAGAGAGUUAAAAGUCCUUGAAACUGCUGUGGGUGAAAGCAAAUGGGAGUUUGAGAAGUAGCAAGGUUGCUGUGUCAUUGAAUGUCAACCCUGCUAUGAGCUUAGUACUGCGGGGUCUCUGGCACCUUUGUCACUGUGUUCCUUGCUCUGUCUGCUUACACUCUGCCUUUGCACAUGUGCGAAUUGUUGGGGAUUGCUAGUGUUAUGCUGCAAGCUGAUGUGCAGACAUGGCAAAUGGCUGAAUGUAUCGAUGCAAAUCAGCAGCUGCACUGUUCUUUGCAUGUGCAGCUGCAACAUCUGUAUUGUCUUGCUGGAAGGUCCAUUUGACCCGUCUUGAAACACGGACCAAGGAGUCUAAUGCUUGUGUAAGUAUGUGGUUUGAUUACCAUCAUGCGUAAUUGAUUUGGUGUUUGGGAUGUUUGCACCAACAGCCAACCAAUUGACUGAAAGAGGUUUGAGGUUGAACAUGAGUCUUAGGACCCGAAAGAUGGUGAGCUAUGCCUGGGCAAUAUGAAUUCAGAGGAAACUCUGGUGGAAGUUUGCAGCGCUACUGACGUGCAAAUCGUUCGUCAAAUCUGGGUAUAGGGGCGAAAGACUAAUCGAACCAUCUAGUAGCUGGUUCCCUCUGAAGUUUCCCUCAGGAUAGCUGGAAUUGAUUAGUUCUACCAGGUAAAGCGAAUGAUUAAAGGGACCGGGGGUGUGUUACUUUUGACCUGUUCUCAAACUUUUAAUGGGUAUGUGCCACAGGUUGUGUUUAAACCAUUGGAUAUAAUACAUGUUUUAUGUGGGCCAUUUUUGGUAAGCAGAAUUGGCGAUGAGGGAUGAACCUAAUGUUGGGGUAAGGUGCUUUCCUGUUCGCUUAUCAGAUAUCACAAAAGGUGUUGGUCCAUUAAACAGCAGGACGGUGGUCAUGGAAGUUGAAACCCGCUAAGGAGU